rnacentral:rRNA from 1 species
AGCCCGCUCAGAAACUUAAGGAAUUGACGGGGCCCGCACAAGCGGUGGAGUAUGUGGUUUAAUUCGAUGCAACGCGAAGAACCUUACCUGGUCUUGACAUCCCGGAGACCCUUAGGAAACUAGGGGGUGCUUCCAUCUGGAAGAAUCUGGAGACAGGUGCUGCAUGGCUGUCGUCAGCUCGUGUCGUGAGAUGUUGGGUUAAGUCCCGCAACGAGCGCAACCCUUGCCUUUAGUUGCCAGCAGUUCGGCUGGGCACUCUAAAGGGACUGCCGGUGUUAAACCGGAGGAAGGUGGGGAUGACGUCAAGUCCUCAUGGCCUUUAUGACCAGGGCUACACACGUACUACAAUGGCCGAUACAAAGGGCAGCGACACUGCGAGGUGAAGCCAAUCCCGUAAAAUCGGUCUCAGUCCGGAUUGGAGUCUGCAACUCGACUCCAUGAAGUUGGAAUCGCUAGUAAUCGUGGAUCAGCAUGCCACGGUGAAUACGUUCCCGGGCCUU